rnacentral:rRNA from 1 species
CGAGUUGUUUGGGAAUACAGCUCAAAGUAGGUGGUAAAUUCCAUCUAAAGCUAAAUAUUGGUGCAAGACCGAUAGCGAACAAGUACCGUGAGGGAAAGAUGAAAAGAACUUUGAAAAGAGAGUUAAAGAGUACCUGAAACUGUUGAAAGGGAACCGUAUCGUUUCCAGUGUUUUAUCUCGUGCAUAUUUCAUUCGCGGAGCAAUUUGCGGGUGCCCUGUGCAUGGGUGUGACGUCAGGGUCAGUUUGUAUGCUGCGGGAGAUGGUCAGUGAGGAGGUGCGUCACUUCGGUGAAAGUUAU